rnacentral:lncRNA from 1 species
GAAGUGACCAUCUAGCAAUGGUACCCGACGAUCGGAUAGGUCGAAUAGUCGCAAUCGCAACAUUCAGAACCUACGUGAAUAUGGUUACCGUAUAAUUCAUCCCUUUUGACCCCUAUGUUUAGGAUGACUCAGGGUUAAACUGUCAACCCUGAUGAGAUCAUCCGAAUCAUGCUCAACUCAAUUAGUCCUGUGACUCCUCACUAGGACUACCCUAGCCAAGAUUUUGCUAAAUUGAAACACGACUGUACACAGCUCCUAAACUAGAGUGGUCAAUCUCAUCUUGACACACACCGACAAGUCAAGUACUUGACUACACCCAGCAGCCUUCCAUCAUUGAAUUAGAAAUUCAGGUAGUCCAGUGCCUAAGUGCAGUGAGUUGCUUGCAAGUCACCGUGACGGUCUCAGGUCGGAGGGACAUUUAUACCCAUAUCC